ACGAACGCUGGCGGCGUGCCUAAUACAUGCACGUAGAACGCUGAAGGAGGAGCUUGCUUCUCUGGAUGAGUUGCGAACGGGUGAGUAACGCGUAGGUAACCUGCCUGGUAGCGGGGGAUAACUAUUGGAAACGAUAGCUAAUACCGCAUAAGAGUAGAUGUUGCAUGACAUUUGCUUAAAAGGUGCAAUUGCAUCACUACCAGAUGGACCUGCGUUGUAUUAGCUAGUUGGUGGGGUAACGGCUCACCAAGGCGACGAUACAUAGCCGACCUGAGAGGGUGAUCGGCCACACUGGGACUGAGACACGGCCCAGACUCCUACGGGAGGCAGCAGUAGGGAAUCUUCGGCAAUGGACGGAAGUCUGACCGAGCAACGCCGCGUGAGUGAAGAAGGUUUUCGGAUCGUAAAGCUCUGUUGUAAGAGAAGAACGAGGGUGAGAGUGGAAAGUUCACACUGUGACGGUAUCUUACCAGAAAGGGACGGCUAACUACGUG
rnacentral:rRNA from 1 species